rnacentral:rRNA from 1 species
GAUGAACGCUGGCGGCGUGCCUAAUACAUGCAAGUCGAGCGAAUGGAUUAAGAGCUUGCUCUUAUGAAGUUAGCGGCGGACGGGUGAGUAACACGUGGGUAACCUGCCCAUAAGACUGGGAUAACUCCGGGAAACCGGGGCUAAUACCGGAUAACAUUUUGAACCGCAUGGUUCGAAAUUGAAAGGCGGCUUCGGCUGUCACUUAUGGAUGGACCCGCGUCGCAUUAGCUAGUUGGUGAGGUAACGGCUCACCAAGGCAACGAUGCGUAGCCGACCUGAGAGGGUGAUCGGCCACAGUGGGACUGAGACACGGCCCAGACUCCUACGGGAGGCAGCAGUAGGGAAUCUUCCGCAAUGGACGAAAGUCUGACGGAGCAACGCCGCGUGAGUGAUGAAGGCUUUCGGGUCGUAAAACUCUGUUGUUAGGGAAGAACAAGUGCUAGUUGAAUAAGCUGGCACCUUAACGGUACCUAACCAGAAAGCCACGGCUAACUACGUGCCAGCCGCCGCCGUAA